rnacentral:ncRNA from 1 species
GUAGUAAUCUUUGUGUGUCGGUGUUUGCGCUUGAGCUACUUUGAGAUAGUGAGCAUUCGCCGCCUAAUGAGAUUCUCUUAACCCUAUUUGUGGCUUUUUUAGGCUACGCAAAUCGGGG